rnacentral:rRNA from 1 species
GGAUUCUGGGCGUAAGCGCACGCAGGCGGUCUGUCAAGUCGGAUGUGAAAUCCCCGGGCUCAACCUGGGAACUGCAUUCGAAACUGGCAGGCUAGAGUCUUGUAGAGGGGGGUAGAAUUCCAGGUGUAGCGGUGAAAUGCGUAGAGAUCUGGAGGAAUACCGGUGGCGAAGGCGGCCCCCUGGACAAAGACUGACGCUCAGGUGCGAAAGCGUGGGGAGCAAACAGGAUUAGAUACCCUGGUAGUCCACGCCGUAAACGAUGUCGACUUGGAGGUUGUGCCCUUGAGGCGUGGCUUCCGGAGCUAACGCGUUAAGUCGACCGCCUGGGGAGUACGGCCGCAAGGUUAAAACUCAAAUGAAUUGACGGGGGCCCGCACAAGCGGUGGAGCAUGUGGUUUAAUUCGAUGCAACGCGAAGAACCUUACCUACUCUUGACAUCCAGAGAACUUUCCAGAGAUGGAUUGGUGCCUUCGGGAACUCUGAGACAGGUGCUGCAUGGCUGUCGUCAGCUCGUGUUGUGAAAUGUUGGGUUAAGUCCCGCAACGAGCGCAACCCUUAUCCUUUGUUGCCAGC